rnacentral:rRNA from 1 species
CUGCGGAAGGAUCAUUGUCGAGACCUGCAAAGCAGACCGCGAACACGUAACCAAACCCGCGGGGCACGGCGCGGGGGCGACCCCCCGCCGCGUCCCGUCUCCCGCCGGCGUGCUCCCCCGGGACGCGCCGCGCGGGCUAACGAACCCCGGCGCGGAACGCGCCAAGGAAAACCGAACCCAGCGCCCGCCCCCGGCGCCCCGUCCGCGGGGAGUGCCGGGGGGCCGGGCGUCUGUCAAAAUGUCAAAACGACUCUCGGCAACGGAUAUCUCGGCUCUCGCAUCGAUGAAGAACGUAGCGAAAUGCGAUACUUGGUGUGAAUUGCAGAAUCCCGUGAACCAUCGAGUCUUUGAACGCAAGUUGCGCCCGAAGCCAUUAGGCCGAGGGCACGUCUGCCUGGGCGUCACGCAUCGCGUCGCCCCCCACCCCCGCGCGCACCGCCGGGUCGUGGGGGGCGGACAAUGGCCCCCCGUGCGCCUCGGCGCGCGGCCGGCCCAAAUGCGAUCCCCGGGCGGCUGGCGUCGCGACAAGUGGUGGUUGAACAUCUCAAUCUCUCUCGUCGUCGUGCCGCCGUGCCGUCCCGUACGGGAAUCGAUAACGACCCAACGGUGAGCGGCGCGAGCCGCGUCU